rnacentral:rRNA from 1 species
GACGAACGCUGGCGGCGUGCUUAACACAUGCAAGUCGAACGGAAAGGCCCUGCUUUUGUGGGGUGCUCGAGUGGCGAACGGGUGAGUAACACGUGAGUAACCUGCCCUUGACUUUGGGAUAACUUCAGGAAACUGGGGCUAAUACCGGAUAGGAGCUCCUGCUGCAUGGUGGGGGUUGGAAAGUUUCGGCGGUUGGGGAUGGACUCGCGGCUUAUCAGCUUGGUGGUGGGGUAGUGGCUUACCAAGGCUUUGACGGGUAGCCGGCCUGAGAGGGUGACCGGCCACAUUGGGACUGAGAUACGGCCCAGACUCCUACGGGAGGCAGCAGUGGGGAAUACUGCACAAUGGGCGGAAGCCUGAUGCAGCAACGCCGCGUGCGGGAUGACGGCCUUCGGGUUGUAAACCGCUUUCGCCUGUGACGAAGCGUGAGUGACGGUAAUGGGUAAAGAAGCACCGGCUAACUACGUG